rnacentral:rRNA from 1 species
GACGAACGCUGGCGGCGUGCUUAACACAUGCAAGUCGAACGCGCCUGUCCUCUGGGUUUCUGGGGGGUGGGUGAGUGGCGAACGGGUGAGUAACACGUGAGUAACCUGCCCCCUUCUUCGGGAUAACGGUCUGAAAGGGCUGCUAAUACCGGGUAUUCACUGGUCUCCGCAUGGGGUCUGGUGGAAAGGUUUUUUUCUGGUGGGGGAUGGGCUCGCGGCCUAUCAGCUUGUUGGUGGGGUGAUGGCCCACCAAGGCUUUGACGGGUAGCCGGCCUGAGAGGGUGACCGGUCACAUUGGGACUGAGAUACGGCCCAGACUCCUACGGGAGGCAGCAGUGGGGAAUAUGGCACAAUGGGCGCAAGCCUGAUGCAGCGACGCCGCGUGAGGGAUGGAGGCCUUCGGGUUGUGAACCUCUUUCGCCCGUGGUCAAGCCGCGACGUGGGUCGUGGUGAGGGUAGUGGGUAAAGAAGCGCCGGCUAACUACGUG